rnacentral:rRNA from 1 species
UAGGGAAUCUUCCACAAUGGGCGCAAGCCUGAUGGAGCAACACCGCGUGAGUGAAGAAGGGUUUCGGCUCGUAAAACUCUGUUGUUAAAGAAGAACAUAUCUGAGAGUAACUGUUCAGGUAUUGACGGUAUUUAACCAGAAAGCCACGGCUAACUACGUGCCCG